UAUUAAAGGCAACGCCUGCCCAGUGAGAAUUUCUUCAACGGCCGCGGUACCCUAACCGUGCAAAGGUAGCGUAAUCACUUGUCUAUUAAUUGUAGACCCGUAUGAAAGGCCACAUGAGAGUCAAACUGUCUCUUGUAAUCAAUCAAUUAAACUGAUCUCCCAGUACAAAAGCUGAGAUAUACAUAUAAGACCAGAAGACCCUGUGAAGCUUAAACUAAACUAUUAAACCCACUAAUAGCUACUUUCAGUUGGGGCGACUUUGGAACAAAACAGAACUUCCAAACAACAUGAGCCAUCCCUCAUAUUACAGGCCAACAAGCCACCACAAGACCCAGUAACACUGAUAAUUGAACCAAGUUACUCCAGGGAUAACAGCGCCAUCUUCUUUAAGAGCCCAUAUCAAAAAGAAGGUUUACGACCUCGAUGUUGGAUCAGGACACCCAAAUGGUGCAGCCGCUAUUAAAGGUUCGUUUGUUCAACGAUUAACAGUCCU
rnacentral:rRNA from 1 species